AUUGAACGCUGGCGGCAUGCCUAAUACAUGCAAGUCGAACGCGAAAGCCUUCGGGUAAGUAGAGUGGCGGACGGGUGAGUAACGCAUGGGAAUCUGCCCAGUAGUGGGGGACAACACGGGGAAACUCGUGCUAAUACCGCAUACAUCCUACGGGAAAAAGGGGGCUUCGGCUCUCGCUAUUGGAUGAGCCCAUGUCAGAUUAGCUAGUUGGUAAGGUAACGGCUUACCAAGGCGACGAUCUGUAGCUGGUCUGAGAGGAUGAUCAGCCACACUGGGACUGAGACACGGCCCAGACUCCUACGGGAGGCAGCAGUAGGGAAUAUUGGACAAUGGGGGAAACCCUGAUCCAGCAAUGCCGCGUGUGUGAAGAAGGCCUGCGGGUUGUAAAGCACUUUCAGUCGAGAGGAAAAGCUGUUGGUUAAUACCCAGCAGUCUUGACGUAACCGACAGAAGAAGCACCGGCUAACUCUGUGCCAGCG
rnacentral:rRNA from 1 species